CUAUUACAAAGAGUUGCAAUAUGGUAACAUGGAGCGAAUCUCAAAAAGAUAGUCUCAGUUCAGAUUGUGGGCUGAAACCCGCCCACAUGAAGUCGGAGUUGCUAGUAAUCCCGAAUCAGCAUGUCGGGGUGAAUGCGUUCCCGGGUCUUGUACACACCGCCCGUCACGCCAUGGGAGUUGGGAGUACCCAAAGUCGGCGACCUAACCGCAAGGAAGGAACCGCCUAAGGUAAUACCAAUGACUGGGGUGAAGUCGUAACAAGGUACC
rnacentral:rRNA from 1 species